GGACCCUGAGAUCAUGACCUGAGCUGAAACCAAGAAUCCAACGCCCAUCCGACUGAAGCACCCAGAUGUAGAUACACCCAACGACAGCCUUAUGAUUUCUGCUGCCCUGAGGAGUGUCCAAAGUGGGCAUUCAGGUCAGAUAGAAUCCAAAAGAGGUGCUGAGAGGUUCAGCUACACAAUUGGCAUCAUGGACUCCCCUUGCUUGCCCUCUGGCCACCCUACUGCUGGGACUCUUUGAGCUGACCCAUUCCUGAGGAGAGGUGUUUGCUCUGCUGCUCCAACUCAGAAUGGGAAAUUGCUGUGGUUCCUGCUGUGGUUCCUGCUGUGAUGGU